rnacentral:rRNA from 1 species
UACGUAGGGGGCAAGCGUUGUCCGGAAUUAUUGGGCGUAAAGAGCGUGUAGGCGGUCCGAUAAGUCGGCUGUGAAAGUCCAGGGCUCAACUCUGGAAUGCCGGCCGAUACUGUCGGACUAGAGUCCGGAAGAGGUGAGUGGAAUUCCCGGUGUAGCGGUGAAAUGCGCAGAUAUCGGGAGGAACACCAAUGGCGAAGGCAGCUCACUGGGACGGCACUGACGCUGAGACGCGAAAGCGUGGGGAGCAAACAGG